CCUACGGGAGGCAGCAGUGAGGAAUAUUGGUCAAUGGGCGGAAGCCUGAACCAGCCAAGUAGCGUGCGGGAUGAAGGCCCUACGGGUCGUAAACCGCUUUUGCACGGGGAUAACACCCUCCACUUGUGGAGUCAUCCAGGUCCCGUGCGAUUAAGGCCGGGCAAAUUCCGGGCCAGCAGCAGCGGUAAUACGGAGGGCCCGAGCGUUUUCCGGAUUCAUUGGGCUAAACGGGACCGUAGGGGGGCGUUAAAGUCAGCGGUAAAAUCGCGGGGCUCAACCGCGCCCGGCAGUUGAAACUGGACGCCUUGAGUUCACAACAGGCAGGCGGAAUUCGUGGUGUAGGGGUGAAAUGCAUAGAUAUCACGAGGAACCCCGAUUGCGAAGGCAGCCUGCCGGGGUGCGACUGACGCUGAGGCUCGAAGGUGCGGGUAUCAAACAGGAUUAGAUACCCCUGUAGUC
rnacentral:rRNA from 1 species